CUCAUGUGCCUGCUAACCUCCAGGUAGCGUGGCAGAGCUUCUGUUUCCUCUAGCCAGUCUGACAGGAGGUGUUUACUGAGAUCACUUCCGGUCAGGCUGGUUAGAGGAUAAAGAUGCUCCAAAACCCAUGGUACACUCUGCUAUGCUACAAGAAUUGGCCAGCAGGAGGGUAGCUCUUCCCCUCCUGAUGGUCACCUGGUCAUUGUGCCCCCUAGGCCGGUGUAUUUUAGGUGGCUAUGCA